UACGGGUUGGCCGGUGGCCCGCCGAGUGC
rnacentral:sRNA from 1 species